GACAAUGUGGUGUAGUGGUUUGAAUGCUGGCUAGGAUUGUAGGAGACUUGGGUUCAAAUCCCCACAUAGCCA